GCGAAAAUAGCUCAAUUGGUCAGAGUUUAACUUUGCCAAAGUUAAGGUUGGAGGUUCAAACCCUCUUUUUCGCU
rnacentral:tRNA from 1 species